UCAUCUCCUCCUUCUCUCUCCACCAACCCUCUCCAUUAUUCUAAAUCUCCUUUUUUUCUCACUCUUUCUCUCUCCUACAUUCCACUUCUCUUUCCUGUGAUUUCUCAUUUUCUUCUCAAAUCUUCUUCCCUAAACUCUAAUCUCCUUUCUUACCACUUCCAAAUUUCAUGUCGACGGCGCCACUGUCACCACCACCGUCGUCACUGUGUCUCAUCUUUUGUUUAUGUCUUAUUGUAGUCAACACAACAAAAUGUUUCAAUGAUUCACAUUAAGAUUUUGUAAAAGUUAAAAUCUUUAAAAGUAUAAGAUACAAAUUUUUAUGGUUUUUGCUUUUAACUGUUUCAUCUUUUCUUUAUUCAACAUCACUAACAUUAUUUUUAUGGUUUUCGUUUCAGAUAUGUUCUUAUUCUUCAGAUCUUGGGUUUUUUGUUGAUACAGAGUGAUGAUGAAGAGAUCUUACUCCCUUUUCUAUUUCGUAUAAAUCCAAAUCUGGGUUUUUGUAUUUUUAUUUUCAUGUUUUGUAGGUAAUUUAUGAAAGAAAUCUUCUCAACAAUCAACCAGGUAAUGUGGUAAUUUAUGAAAGAAAUCUUCUCAACAAUCAACCAGGUAAUAUGAGAUCAAAUCUUGAUAUCAAUGCAUAAAUGUGACUUCUGGUUGCAAAUCUCACGAUGUUUUCUUAUGAAUCAAGGGAAAUUCAUUUUAGAGAUCAAAUCUUAAUAUCAAUGCAUAAAUGUGACUUCUGGUUGCAAAUCUCACGAUGUUUUCUUAUGAAUCAAGGGAAAUUCAUUUUAGGUGUGUACAAUAUUCUUUUGAAUGUUAUUUUUAUUACAACUAGUAAUGGACCCGUGCGUUCGCACGGGUCACGUAAAGUCGAAAUAAAUAUUAAAUAAAUGUUAUAUAGUUAUAGCAAAAAAAAUGUAUAUUAAUUAAUACGAAGUCAUACAAAUAUUAAUUUAAUUUAUCAAGUUAUUAGUAGUUGUUAGGAGUAUAUAGAUUUGGUAAUUGCUAUCAAACUAAAUAUAUGGUGGAAAAAUAGGUUUGGUAAUUGUUAAUUUAAUUUUACAAUUUCUCUUAAUAAAUAUUAUAAGAUAAAAUAUAUUACACACCAAAAAAAUAUAUUGGUUUAAUAAUAUGAUUAAAUUUAAUAAAUUGAACGUAUGAUCUCUAAUAUCCGUUAAAAAACACAUAUGUUAUAGUAAUUGAGAAGUCAUUAAACCCAUGAUCUCUAAUAUUGUUCAAUUUAAGUCAAUAUUUUGUCGGCCCGUAAAAAAAACAGGUUCGGCUCGUCGGGCAUGCCUAUAAUUUUUAAAUUCUUAUGUAUUGUAAAUUUAUGGAUACUAUUGAUAUUAAAUGAUUUUAUCAAUAGAAAAUAAAUUUAAAGAUAGUUAAGUUUUAUAAGAAAUCUGUGACAAAUCUUGAACAAAUAACAAUUGUUGAAAAACUUAAAAGAAACUUUUUUUUUUGAAAAAUGGAACGUGAUAAGUAAAAUAUUUAUAACUUAAUUCCGUUUAUACAAAUAAUUGUACGAACAUUUAACUUUUUUCUGUUUAUAAAAAUAUUUGUAA